rnacentral:rRNA from 1 species
UACAGAGGUCUCAAGCGUUGUUCGGAUUCAUUGGGCGUAAAGGGUGUGUAGGUGGCGCCGUAAGUCGGGUGUGAAAUUUCGGAGCUUAACUCCGAAACUGCAUUCGAUACUGCGGUGCUUGAGGACUGGAGAGGAGACUGGAAUUCAUGGUGUAGCAGUGAAAUGCGUAGAGAUCAUGAGGAAGACCAGUGGCGAAAGGCGGGUCUCUGGACAGUUCCUGACACUGAGACACGAAGGCCAGGGGGAGCAAACGGG